rnacentral:piRNA from 1 species
UGUCAUGCUCUGCCACAAUUUUGUCACC